AUGUUAAUUUCAAUUUCAAUAUCAAUAUCAAUAUCGUGGGAUGGCUUAUAUCUUCAACAUAUCUUCAAUUUCUUUGCGCUUUCUCAUUUUGUUGAUAAUCGUCUUUACUUUAUUUAUGCAGUUGAUUCCAGCUAUUAAUGCAGAUAUGAAUAUGAAGAUGAGGAAGUUGGGAAACUUGCCAAGUCCACCUCCUGCACCAAAGGUUGACCGAUCUGCAGUUCCAGGCAACGGUGAGACCCACCCAUAAAAAUAGAAAAUUACUAAUGUGCCCAUGGUACCUUAAUAAAAUUACACAUUUAUAUUAUAAAUUUUUGUUUGCGCAAUAAAUUAAGGAGUUGAAUAAGUAGCCGAGUGGCAACUGGCAAAUGGCAUGCUUGUGAUUCAAAGGGGGCCGAGUAUCAACUUUUUUUUUUUUAACCAAAUAAAUGUAUUGCAUUUCAUUAAUUAUCAAAAGUUCAAUACA